rnacentral:rRNA from 1 species
AGCAGCCGCGGUAAUUCCAGCUCCAAUAGCGUAUAUUAAAGUUGUUGCAGUUAAAAAGCUCGUAGUUGAAUUUCAGGCCUGGCUGGACGGUCCGCCUUUUGGGUGAGUACUGUCUGUGGUCGGGUCCUACCUUCUGGCGAAGCGUCAUGGCCUUAACCGGCCGUGGCGGGGAACCAGGACUUUUACUGUGAAAAAAAUUAGAGUGUUCAAAGCAGGCAGUCGCUUGAAUACAUUAGCAUGGAAUAAUGGAAUAGGACAAUGGUUCUAUUUGUUGGUUUCUAGGACUUGUUGUAAUGAUUAAUAGGGAUAGUUGGGGGCAUUAGUAUUCAAUUGUCAGAGGUGAAAUUCUUGGAUUUAUUGAAGACUAACUACUGCGAAAGCAUUUGCCAAGGAUGUUUUCAUUAAUCAAGAACGAAAGUUAGGGAUCGAAGACGAUCAGAUACCGUCGUAGUCUUAACCAUAAACUAUGACCGACUAGGAAUCGGGCGAUGUUGACAAAAUGACGCGCUCGGCACCUCAU